GUGGUUUUCACAGUAAAAAUGUUACUUUUUUCCACUCGGAUUUUAUGUUUUGUGUGUGAAUUUGGGUCCAUUGUGUAAAUUCAGUAUGUCAACAUGAUAAAAUAACUGUAAAUUCGCACAGGUUAGGUUGUGCUGAAAAAUGAUACCAGGCAAGGCACGUGAUUGUCAAAUUUUGUGUCAAUAUGACAAAGCGUAUAGGCGUGAAUCUCAACAAUAUGUAUUUUCACCUUAGGGGACAAGAAAAAAUGGACUUUUUUCUCCUGCCAUGGGGGGGCGCUCUUUUGGGGAGUAAAAAUUCCUUCACAAAUGUGUUGAUGGCUGGACAUUGCAUCAUCCUAGAAAACUUGGAGGCCAGUGAGGACAAAAAUAAAAAGUUAUAAGACUUUUAAAUAUGUGGAUUUUAGGGUUAUCUUUGGCGCCCCCUAGAACCUAAACCGUGGGGUGCAGCGUCAUGAUUUGAAUAACUUUUAAUGGCCAUGGGGUGUAGAUUGUCCUGAGCAAAUGUGGUGCCGGUGGAACGAAAGCCUUAGGAGGAGUUAGCCACAUUCCAAUGUGUGCGGAUCGGCAAAAAAUGCGGAAUAACCCUUUAACCGUACAUUUGACAGAUACGCGCGCAUUGACUUUUUCGUAGAUCUUAUUGAGUUACAUGUGUGUGUCAAUUUUUGUGUCAUUUUGACAAAGCGUAUAGGCGUGACACUCAACAAUGUGUAUUUUCACCUUAGGGGACAAGAAAAAAUGGACUUUUUUCUCCUGCCAUGGGGGGGCGCUCUUUUGGGGAGUAAAAAUUCCUUCACAAAUGUGUUGAUGGCUGGACAUUGCAUCAUCCUAGAAAACUUGGAGGCCAGUGAGGACAAAAAUAAAAAGUUAUAAGACUUUUAAAUAUGUGGAUUUUAGUGUUAUCUUUGGCGCCCCCUAGAACCUAAACCUUGGGGUGCAGCGUCAUGAUUUUGAUAACUUUUAAUGGCCACGGGGUGUAGAUUGGCCUGAGCAAAUGUGGUGCCGGUGGAACGAAAGCCUUCGGAGGAGUUAGCGAAAUUCCAAUGUGUGCGGAUCGGCAAAAAAUGCGAAAUAACCCUUUGACCGUACAUUUGACAGAUACGGCCGCACUGACUUUUUUGUAGAUCUUAUUGAGAUACAUAUGUGUGUCAAUUUUUGUGUCAAUAUGACAAAGCGUACAGGCGUGACAGUCAAUAGUGUGAAUUUCCACCUUAGGGGGCGCUAUGGAGCCAUUUUGCAUUUUAUUGUUUUGGCGACUUCAGAAUAUCAAAUUUUUCACCAGGCCCGGUCGUCCUUCCAAAUUUCAUGAGUUUUCGCCAGUGGGAAGUGGGCCAUUUUCCAGUUCAAAGGGGAGGAAAAAGAAGAAAGAAAGAAAGAACUAGGGCCCCGUUGGGGCACUGGCGGGCCCGAGCAGUGUCGCGCCGCCCCCAGCGCGACCGCCUACCCCUCCCGAUCGCGUCACACUCAAGGUCCAAAGAUGGUGUGCGCACUUGUCUGUGGUCAUUUACCAUUAUAAUGAAUGGGAGGCGCAGUUUCUACCAAAACGCUCGCUGCAGACAAACUCCAUGUCCUUUUUGAAAAAAGUCUGGACCAUGAGUGAGGGCACAAACACAGCUAGUAUAUAUCCAAAUGGCAAGUUGCUCCUCCUUUCGGUUUUGCCGAGAGAGCGAUGCGUUUGAGCCAUUGAGCGAUGGGCAGGAAAAACUUGACUUUUUCUCCUGCCAUGGGGGGGCGCUCUUUUGGGGAGAAAAAAUUCCUUCACAAAUGUGUUGAUGGCUGGACAUUGCAUCAUCCUAGAAAACUUGGAGGCCAGUGAGGACAAAAAUAAAAAGUUAUAAGACUUUUAAAAAUGUGGAUAUUUGGGUCCUCUUUGGCGCCCCCUAGAACGUAAACUGUGGGGUGCAGCGUCAUGAUUUGUACAACUUUGAAUGGCCAUGGGGUCUAGAUUGACCUGAGCAAAUUCGAAGCCGAUGGGACAAAAGAUUUAGGAGGAGUUAGCCACAUUCCAAUGUGUGCGAAUCGGCAAAAAAUGCGAAAUAGCCCUUUAACCGUACAUUGAACAGAUACGCUCGCAUUGACUUUUCGUAGAUCUUAUUGAGAUACAUGUGUGUGUCAAAUUUUGUGUCAUUUUGACAAAGCGUAAAGGCGUGACAGUCAACAAUGUGUAUUUUCGCCUUAGGAGACAAGAAAAAAUGGACUUUUUUCUCCUGCCAUGGGGGGGCGCUGUUUUGGCGAGUAAAAAUUCCUUCACAAAUGUGUUGAUGGCUGGACAUUGCAUCAUCCUAGAGAACUUGGAGGCCAGUGAGGACAAAAAUAAAAAGUUAUAAGACUUUUAAGACUGUGGAUUUUUGGGUUAUCUUUGGCGCCCCCUAGAACGUAAACCGUGGGGUGCAGCGUCAUGAUUUGUACAACUUUUAAUGGCCAUGGGGUGUAGAUUGGCCUGAGCAAAUGUGGUGCCUUUGGAACGAAAGCCUUCGGAGGAGUUAGCGAAAUUCCAAUGUGUGCGGAUCGGCAAAAAAUGCGAAAUAGCCCUUUAACCGUACAUUUGACAGAUACGCCCGCACUGACUUUUUUGUAGAUCUUAUUGAGAUACAUGUGUGUGUCAAUUUUUGUGUCAAUAUGACAAAGCGUAAAGGCGUGACAGUCAAUAGUGUGAAUUUUCGCCUUAGGAGACAAGAAAAAAUGGACUUUUUUCUCCUGCCAUGGGGGGGCGCUCUUUUGGCGAGUAAAAAUUCCUUCACAAAUGUGUUGAUGGCUGGACAUUGCAUCAUCCUAGAGAACUUGGAGGCCAGUGAGGACAAAAAUAAAAAGUUAUAAGCCUUUUAAGACUGUGGAUUUUUGGGUUAUCUUUGGCGCCCCCUAGAACGUAAACCGUGGGGUGCAGCGUCAUGAUUUGUACAACUUUUAAUGGCCAUGGGGUGUAGAUUGGCCUGAGCAAAUGUGGUGCCGGUGGAAGGAAUGCCUUCGGAGGAGUUAGCGAAAUUCCAAUGUGUGCGGAUCGGCAAAAAAUGCGAAAUAACCCUCUAACCGUACAUUUCACAGAUGCGCCCGCACUGACUUUUUCGUAGACCGUAUUGAGAUACACGUGUGUGUCAAUUUUUGUGUCAAUAUGACAAAGCGUACAGGUGUGACAGUCAAUAGUGUGAAUUUUCACCUUAGGGGGCGCUAUGGAGCCAUUUUGCAUUUUAUUGUUUGGGCGACUUCAGAAUAUCGAAUUUUUCACCAGGCCCGGUCAUCCUGCCAAAUUUCCUGAGUUUUCGCCAGUGGGAAGUGGGCCAUUUUCCCCUUCAAAGGGGAGGAAAAAUAAGAAGAAAGAAAGAAAGAAAGAAGAAAGAAAAACUCAUCAGGAAUAAUAGGGCUCUACGCCCGGCUGCUCUGCAGCUGGCUCGGGCCCUAACUAGGGCCCCGUGUGGGCACUGGCGGGCCCGAGCCGUGUCGCGCCCCCCCCCCAACGCGCUGCCUCCCCGUCCCAUUCGCGUCCUCUGGCCAUCGCCCUCUCUGGUAACGCCCAUCACUACAAAGACCCUUUUCCUUCAUCGGCGUUUGCUGUUCUUCCUGCCAGUGCGUGUUGCUUUCACUUACACUUGCCACAGCCAGCCUCGUGAGUGCCUAGCCUAUUGGAUAUCACUGUCACCUACACAGGACAGUCAUUACCUUUCUAUUAAUACUUUGUUUUUUAAUUUCACAUUAAUUUCCAUAUUGUAUAAACGACUGGAAAAAACUUGAGCCCCUGCCCCUGUAUAAUCAUGUACACGUCCCUGUUCUAGCUCCAAGGUGAAUCUUCACUGCUCAUGUUCUCCUCAGAAGCAGUCACCUCACUCCCCUCAGGUUACUGUACACAUGCACCAACUGCCUGCUUCAGGUUUGGAUGGAGCUUCAUGGUUGUCUUUUGGAGAAAUGAGCAGUCAAGUUGUGUUUGAAAUUUGAUUUUUUUUCAGGGGCAAAAGGAAGCCUCUGCAUUCUUGUCAAAUAUGUAAAUAGCAUGUUUUUGCAGGUGCUAAAAACCAGACUCUGAGUGUGCGUGUGUGUGUGUGUCUGUGUGUGUGUGUGUGUGUGUGUGUGUGUGUGUGUGCGUUCAAGUCACAUGACAUAUUUAACCGGAUGUAGCUGCAAGACGGUGUGUGUGUGCGUGUGUGUGUGUGUCUGUGUGUGUGUGUGUGUGUGUGUGUGUGUGUGCGUUCAAGUCACAUGACAUAUUUAACCGGAUGUAGCUGCAAGACGGAGCCUCGUUGACUCUCCGUUUCAACUAAUCUCAAAAGUGAGGACCUCAACCUAUAUACCAGUUUUUAAAUUGUGUUGAUAGGCCAAAUAAAACCAGAGUUAUGAUAAAUUAUGUCCGCGAUACUUGUUUUCUGCUUAUUUUGAUCACGUUCGGCGCUCGAUCGCGCUGUAUGAGACAGGAAAACAUAGCAUGCAGACAUUAGCGACAGGUCUUACAGGCGGAAAAGGCUUGCCAAAGGAAAAGAAAAAAACACACCACAACAUCUCUCCUAUUGGUGGAAAACUUCACCACAACAACCAAUCCAAAAUUAUAUGGUGACUGAUUGACAAGGGGCGGGCGCUUACGUUCUUCCUGCAAUAUGAGAAGGGAGGGAGGGACUCUCAGCAGGGAUGCAGUCUGGGACACGUAGUUGCAAACCUAGCGACUUUGUUGUUAGAUUCAAUGACUUUUCAGACCCCCUAACGACUUUUUUUUUAGAAAGAAAGUGACUUUUAUCGACUUCUGGAGUUUAGAGACUCUGACAUGAAGCAGGCUUUCCUUACUGAGGAGUUAGCAACGCUGCUAAGGGUGCAGAGCCACACAUGCGCUCCGAGCUCUGCAUGGGAGACUGAAGCUGACAGAGCUGCAGCAGUUAGCAGGUUUCACCCUCAGAGACCACCAGGGGUUCAUGUUGAGGCAUUUUCAGUUUUUUUUUUUUUUUUUGCCAUAGACACUGUCAGCACAAUCUGCAGUUACACUAACAAAAAUGCUGCAAAAAACAAAGAAUUAUGGAAAAAUUACACAUGGACUAACAUAGAGGAGGAUCUACACAAGUUUUUUACAUCAUGUUUUACAUCAUGCAUCAUUUACAUCAUGUUUUUUUGUAGUGGCAUAAAUAAAAAGUGACAUUUGUGAGACUAUACAGUGUUUUGUAAAUAAUUUUACAAAGAACACCUGGGCCAUUGCCUGCAUUUUGAUGUCAAUAGAGGUAAAUUACUAUGUUCUUUGUUAAAAAUUUGCAUAUGUUUUGAAGUUUACAAUUUUUAUUUGAAGUUUAAGUUUUAAAAACAGUUCAUCACACAUAUUUGUGGUUUUCACAGUAAAAACGUUACUUUUUUCCACUCGGAUUUUAUGUUUUGUGUGUGAAUUUGGGUCCAAUGUGUAAAUAUAGUAUGUCAAAAUGAUAAAAUAACUGUAAAUUGACACAGGUGAGGUUGUGCUGAAAAAAAUGAUACCAGGCAAGGCAAGGUAAAAAUUUUGUAAGAGGAAAUAUAAAGGUAAAAUCUAAAGUAGUCAAAAACGGCCAAUAGUGACUCACAGACUCCACAGACAAGUCCCUUUGGCGCCACUCAGUGGGCAAAACUACUUUGUCUACUGUAAUGUAUAUUUGGGUCAUCUUUGGCGCCCCCUAAAACGUAAACCGUGGGGUGCAGCGUCAUGAUUUGAAUAACUUUUAAUGGCCAUGGGGUGUAAUUUGGCCUGAGCAAAUGUGGUGCCGGUGGAACGAAAGCCUUAGGAGGAGUUAGCGAAAUUCCAAUGUGUGCGAAUCGGCAAAAAAUGCAAAAUAGCCCUUUUACCGUACAUUAUACAGAUACGCGCUCUUUGACUUUUUCGUAGAUCUAAUUGAGAUACACAUGAUUGUCAAUUUUUGUGUCAUUUUGCCAAAGCGUACAGGCGUGACAGUCAACAAUGUGUAUUUUCACCUUAGGGGACAAGAAAAAAUUGACUUUUUUCUCCUGCCAUGGGGGGGCGCUCUUUUAGGGAGUAAAAAUUCCUUCACAAAUGUGGUGAUGGCUGGACAUUGCAUCAUCCUAGAAAACUUGGAGGCCAGUGAGGACAAAAAUAAAAAGUUAUAAGACUUUUAAAAAUGUGGAUUUUUGGGUUAUCUUUGGCGCCCCCUAGAACGUAAACCGUGGGAUGCAGCGUCAUGAUUUGAAUAACUGUUAAUGGCCAUGGGGUGUAAUUUGGCCUGAGCAAAUGUGGUGCCGGUGGAACGAAAGCCUUCGGAGGAGUUAGCGAAAUUCCAAUGUGUGCGAAUCGGCAAAAAAUGCGGAAUAACCCUUUAACCGUACAUUAGACAGAUACGCGCACAUUGACUUUUUUGUAGAUCUUAUUGAGAUACAUGUGUGUGUCAAUUUUUGUGUCAUUUUGACAAAGCGUACAGGCGUGACACUCAACAAUGUGUAUUUUCACCUUAGGGGACAAGAAAAAAUGGACUUUUUUCUCCUGCCAUGGGGGGGCGCUCUUUUGGGGAGUAAAAAUUCCUUCACAAAUGUGUUGAUGGCUGGACAUUGCAUCAUCCUAGAAAAUUUGGAGGCCAGUGAGGGCAAAAAUAAAAAGUUAUAAGACUUUUAAAAAUGUGGAUUUUAGGGUUAUCUUUGGCGCCCCCUAGAACCUAAACCAUGGGGUGCAGCGUCAUGAUUUGAAUAACUUUUAAUGGCCAUGGGGUGUAGAUUGGCCUGAGCAAAUGUGGUGCCGGUGGAACGAAAGCCUUCGGAGGAGUUAGCGAAAUUCCAAUGUGUGCGGAUCGGCAAAAAAUGCAAAAUAACCCUUUAACCGUACAUUUGACAGAUACGCCCGCACUGACUUUUUUGUAGAUCUUAUUGAGAUACAUGUGUGUGUCAAUUUUUGUGUCAUUUUGACAAAGCGUACAGGCGUGACAGUCAAUAGUGUGAAUUUUCACCUUAGGGGGCGCUAUGGAGCCAUUUUGCAUUUUCUUGUUUGGGCGACUUCGGAAUAUCAAAUUUUUCACCAGGCCCGGUCGUCCUGCCAAAUUUCCUGAGUUUUCGCCAGUGGGAAGUGGGCCAUUUUCCAGUUCAAAGGGGAGGAAAAAGAAACUAGGGCCCCGUUGGGGCACUGGCGGGCCCGAGCUGUGUCGCCCCCCCCCCCCCCCCAACGCGCUGCCUCCCCGUCCCAUUCGCGUCCUCUGGCCAUCGUCCUCUCUGGUAACGCCCAUCACUGCAAAGACCCUUUUCCUUCAUCGGCGUUUGCUGUUCUUCCUGCCAGUGCGUGUUGCUUUCACUUACACUUGCCACAGCCAGCCUCGUGAGUGCCUAGCCUAUUGGAUAUCACUGUCACCUAGAACAGGACAGUCAUUACCUUUCUAUUAAUACUUUGUGUUUUAAUUUCACAUUAAUUUCCAUAUUGUAUAAACGACUGGAAAAAACUUGAGCCCCUGCCCCUGUAUAAUCAUGUGCAUGUCUCUGUUCUAGCUCCAAGGUGAAUCUUCACUGCUCAUGUUCUCCUCAGAAGCACUCACCUCACUCCCCUCAGGUUACUGUACACAUGCACCAACUGCCUGCUUCAGGUUUGGAUGGAGCUUCAUGGUUGUCUUUUGGAGAAAUGACCAGUCAAGUUGUGUUUGAAAUUUGAUUUUUUUCAGGGGCAAAAGGAGCCUCUGCAUUCUUGUCAAAUAUGUAAAUAGCAUGUUUUUGCAGGUGCUAAAAACCAGACUCUGAGUGUGUGUGUGUGUGUGUGUGUGUGUGUGUGUGUGUGUGUGUGUGUGUGUGUCUAUGUGUGCGUUCAAGUCACAUGACAUAUUUAACCGGAUGUAGCUGCAAGACGGAGCCUCGUUGACUCUCCGUUUCAACUUAUCUCAAAAGUGAGGACCUCAACCUAUAUACCAGUUUUUAAAUUGUGUUGAUAGGCCAAAUAAAACCAGAGUUAUGAUAAAUUAUGUCCGCGAUACUUUUUUUCUGCUUAUUUUGAUCACGUUCGGCGCUCGAUCGCGCUGUAUGAGACAGGAAAACAUAGCAUGCAGACAUUAGCGACAGGUCUUACAGGCGGAAAAGGCUUGCCAAAAGAAAAAAAAAACACACCACAACAUCUCUCCUAUUGGUGGAAAACUUCACCACAACAACCAAUCCAAAAUUAUAUGGUGACUGAUUGACAAGGGGCGGGCGCUUACGUUCUUCCUGCAACAUGAGAAGGGAGGGAGGGACUCUCAGCAGGGAUGCAGUCUGGGACACGUAGUUGCAAACCUAGCGACUUUGUUGUUAGAUUCAAUUACUUUUCAGACACCCUAACGACUUUUUUUAGAAAGAAAGGGACUUUUAUCGACUUCUUCUGGAGUUUAGAGACUCUGACAUGAAGCAGGCUUUCCUUACUGAGGAGUUAGCAACGCUGCUAAGAGUGCAGAGCCACACAUGCGCUCAGAGCUCUGCAUGGGAGACUGAAGCUGACAGAGCUGCAGCAGUUAGCAGGUUUCACCCUCAGAGACCACCAGGGGUUCAUGUUGAGGCAUUUUAAUUUUUUUUUUUGUGCCAUAGACACUGUCAGCACAAUCUGCAGUUACACUAACAAAAAUGCUGCAAAAAACAAAGAAUUAUGGAAAAAUUACACAUGGACUGACAUAGAGGAGGAUCUACACAAGUUUUUUACAUCAUGUUUUACAUCAUGCAUCAUUUACAUCAUGUUUUUUUGUAGUGGCAUAAAUAAAAAGUGACAUUUGUGAGACUAUACAGUGUUUUGUAAAUAAUUUUACAAAGAACGCCUGGGCCAUUGCCUGCAUUUUGAUGUAAAUAGAGGUAAAUUACUAUGUUCUUUGUUAAAAAUUUGCAUAUGUUUUGAAGUUUACAAUUUUUAUUUGAAGUUUAAGUUUUAAAAACAGUUCAUCACACAUAUUUGUGGUUUAAUUUCACAUUAAUUUCCAUAUUGUAUAAAUGACUGGAAAAAACUUGAGCCCCUGCCCCUGUAUAAUCAUGUGCACGUCCCUGUUCUAGCUCCAAGGUGAAUCUUCACUGCUCAUGUUCUCCUCAGAAAUAGUCACCUCACUCCCCUCAGGUUACUGUACACAUGCACCAACUAUCUGCUUCAGGUUUGAAAUGGAGCUUCAUGGUUGUCUUUUGGAAAAAUGAACAGUCAAGUUGUGUUUGAAAUUUGAUUUUUUUCAGGGGCAAAAGGAAGCCUCUGCAUUCUUGUCAAAUAUGUAAACAGCAUGUUUUUGCAGGUGCUAAAAAACAGACUCUGAGUGUGUGUCUGUGUGUGUGUGUGUGUGUGUGUGUGUGUGUGUGUGUGUGUGUAUGUUGGCAUGUGUGUAUAUGUGUGUGUAUCCUGCAGUACUCUGUACUCCUGCAGUGGCCAAAAAGACUUUUAAGAAUGUGGAUUUUUGGGUCAUCUUUGGCGCCCCCUAGAACUGCAGUACUCUGUACUCCUGCAGUGGCCAAAAUGACUUUUAAGAAUGUGGAUUUUUGGGUCAUCUUUGGCGCCCCCUAGAACGUAAACCGUGGGGUGCAGCGUCAUGAUUUUUACAACUUUGAAUGGGCAUGGGGUGUAGAUUGCCCUGAGCAAAUUUGGUAUCGGUGGGACGAAAGCCUUAGGAGGAGAUAGCCACAUUCCAAUGUGUGCGAAUCGGCAAAAAAUGCAAAAUAGCCCUUUAACCGUACAUUAUACAGAUACGCGCUCUUUGACUUUUUCGUAGAUCUAAUUGAGAUACACAUGAUUGUCAAUUUUUGUGUCAAUAUGACAAAGCGUUCAGGCGUGACACUCAACAAUGUGUAUUUUUAUGAAAGGGGACAAGAAAAAAUUGACUUUUUUCUCCUACCAUGGGGGGGCGCUCUUUUGGGGAGUAAAAAUUCCUUCACAAAUGUGUUGAUGGCUGGACAUUGCAUCAUCCUAGAAAACUUGGAGGCCAGUGAGGACAAAAAUAAAAAGUUAUAAAACAUUUAAGAAUGUGGAUUUUUGGGUUAUUUUUGGCGCCCCCUAGAACCUAAACCAUGGGGUGCAGCAUCAUGAUUUGAAUAACUUUUAAUGGCAAUGGGGUGUACAUUGGCCUGAGCAAAUGUGGUGCCGGUGGAACGAAAGCCUUCGGAGGAGUUAGCGUAAUUCCAAUGUGUGCGUAUCGGCAAAAAAUGCGGAAUAACCCUUUAACUGUACAUUUGAUAGAUACGCGCGCAUGGACUUUUUUGUAGAUCUUAUUGAGUUACAUGUGUGUGUCAAUUUUUGUGUCAUUUUGACAAAGCGUAUAGGCGUGACACUCAACAAUGUGUAUUUUCACCUUAGGGGACAAGAAAAAAUGGACUUUUUUCUCCUGCCAUGGGGGGGCGCUCUUUUGGGGAGUAAAAAUUCCUUCACAAAUGUGUUGAUGGCUGGACAUUGCAUCAUCCUAGAAAACUUGGAGGCCAGUGAGGACAAAAAUAAAAAGUUAUAAGACUUUUAAAUAUGUGGAUUUUAGUGUUAUCUUUGGCGCCCCCUAGAACCUAAACCUUGGGGUGCAGCGUCAUGAUUUUGAUAACUUUUAAUGGCCACGGGGUGUAGAUUGGCCUGAUCAAAUGUGGUGCCGGUGGAACGAAAGCCUUCGGAGGAGUUAGCGAAAUUCCAAUGUGUGCGGAUCGGCAAAAAAUGCGAAAUAACCCUUUAACCGUAAUUUUGACAGAUACGGCCGCACUGACUUUUUUGUAGAUCUUAUUGAGAUACAUAUGUGUGUCAAUUUUUGUGUCAAUAUGACAAAGCGUACAGGCGUGACAGUCAAUAGUGUGAAUUUCCACCUUAGGGGGCGCUAUGGAGCCAUUUUGCAUUUUAUUGUUUGGGCGACUUCAGAAUAUCGAAUUUUUCACCAGGCCCGGUCGUCCUGCCAAAUUUCAUGAGUUUUCGCCAGUGGGAAGUGGGCCAUUUUCCAGUUCAAAGGGGAGGAAAAAGAAGAAAGAAAGAAAGAACUAGGACCCCGUUGGGGCACUGGCGGGCCCGAGCCGUGUCGCGUCCCCCCCCCCCCCCCCAACGUGCUGCCUUCCCGUCCCAUUUGUGUCCUCUGGCCAUCGCCCUCUCUGGUAACGCCCAUCACUGCAAAGACCCUUUUCCUUCAUCGGCGUUUGCUGUUCUUCCUGCCAGUGCGUGUUGCUUUCACUUACACUUGCCACAGCCAGCCUCGUGAGUGCCUAGCCUAUUGGAUAUCACUGUCACCUACACAGGACAGUCAUUACCUUUCUAUUAAUACUUUGUGUUUUAAUUUCACAUUAAUUUCCAUAUUGUAUAAACGACUGGAAAAAACUUGAGCCCCUGCCCCUGUAUAAUCAUGUGCAUGUCUCUGUUCUAGCUCCAAGGUGAAUCUUCACUGCUCAUGUUCUCCUCAGAAGCACUCACCUCACUCCCCUCAGGUUACUGUACACAUGCACCAACUGCCUGCUUCAGGUUUGGAUGGAGCUUCAUGGUUGUCUUUUGGAGAAAUGAGCAGUCAAGUUGUGUUUGAAAUUUCAUUUUUUUCAGGGGCAAAAGGAAGUCUCUGCAUUCUUGUCAAAUAUGUAAAUAGCAUGUUUUUGCAGGUGCUAAAAACCAGACUCUGAGUGUGUGUGUGUGUGUGUGUGUGUGUGUGUGUGUGUGUGUGUGUGCGUGUGUGUGUGUCUGUGUGUGCGUUCAAGUCACAUGACAUAUUUAACCGGAUGUAGCUGCAAGACGGAGCCUCGUUGACUCUCCGUUUCAACUUAUCUCAAAAGUGAGGACCUCAACCUAUAUACCAGUUUUUAAAUUGUGUUGAUAGGCCAAAUAAAACCAGAGUUAUGAUAAAUUAUGUCCGCGAUACUUUUUUUCUGCUUAUUUUGAUCACGUUCGGCGCUCGAUCGCGCUGUAUGAGACAGGAAAACAUAGCAUGCAGACAUUAGCGACAGGUCUUACAGGCGGAAAAGGCUUGCCAAAAGAAAAAAAAAACACACCACAACAUCUCUCCUAUUGGUGGAAAACUUCACCACAACAACCAAUCCAAAAUUAUAUGGUGACUGAUUGACAAGGGGCGGGCGCUUACGUUCUUCCUGCAACAUGAGAAGGGAGGGAGGGACUCUCAGCAGGGAUGCAGUCUGGGACACGUAGUUGCAAACCUAGCGACUUUGUUGUUAGAUUCAAUGACUUUUCAGACCCCCUAACGACUUUUUUUUAGAAAGAAAGGGACUUUUAUCGACUUCUUCUGGAGUUUAGAGACUCUGACAUGAAGCAGGCUUUCCUUACUGAGGAGUUAGCAACGCUGCUAAGGGUGCAGAGCCACACAUGCGCUCAGAGCUCUGCAUGGGAGACUGAAGCUGACAGAGCUGCAGCAGUUAGCAGGUUUCACCCUCAGAGACCACCAGGGGUUCAUGUUGAGGCAUUUUAAUUUUUUUUUUUUUUUGUGCCAUAGACACUGUCAGCACAAUCUGCAGUUACACUAACAAAAAUGCUGCAAAAAACAAAGAAUUAUGGAAAAAUUACACAUGGACUGACAUAGAGGAGGAUCUACACAAGUUUUUUACAUCAUGUUUUACAUCAUGCAUCAUUUACAUCAUGUUUUUUUGUAGUGGCAUAAAUAAAAAGUGACAUUUGUGAGACUAUACAGUGUUUUGUAAAUAAUUUUACAAAGAACGCCUGGGCCAUUGCCUGCAUUUUGAUGUAAAUAGAGGUAAAUUACUAUGUUCUUUGUUAAAAAUUUGCAUAUGUUUUGAAGUUUACAAUUUUUAUUUGAAGUUUAAGUUUUAAAAACAGUUCAUCACACAUAUUUGUGGUUUAAUUUCACAUUAAUUUCCAUAUUGUAUAAAUGACUGGAAAAAACUUGAGCCCCUGCCCCUGUAUAAUCAUGUGCACGUCCCUGUUCUAGCUCCAAGGUGAAUCUUCACUGCUCAUGUUCUCCUCAGAAAUAGUCACCUCACUCCCCUCAGGUUACUGUACACAUGCACCAACUAUCUGCUUCAGGUUUGAAAUGGAGCUUCAUGGUUGUCUUUUGGAGAAAUGAACAGUCAAGUUGUGUUUGAAAUUUGAUUUUUUUCAGGGGCAAAAGGAAGCCUCUGCAUUCUUGUCAAAUAUGUAAACAGCAUGUUUUUGCAGGUGCUAAAAAACAGACUCUGAGUGUGUGUGUGUGUCUGUGUGUGUGUGUGUGUGUGUGUGUGUGUGUGUGUAUGUUGGCGUGUGUGUAUAUGUGUGUGUAUCCUGCAGUACUCUGUACUCCUGCAGUGGCCAAAAAGACUUUUAAGAAUGUGGAUUUUUGGGUCAUCUUUGGCGCCCCCUAGAACUGCAGUACUCUGUACUCCUGCAGUGGCCAAAAUGACUUUUAAGAAUGUGGAUUUUUGGGUCAUCUUUGGCGCCCCCUAGAACGUAAACCGUGGGGUGCAGCGUCAUGAUUUUUACAACUUUGAAUGGGCAUGGGGUGUAGAUUGCCCUGAGCAAAUUUGGUGUCAGUGGGAUGAAAGCCUUAGGAGGAGUUAGCCACAUUCCAAUGUGUGCGGAUCGGCAAAAAAUGCAAAAUAGCCCUUUAACCAUACAUUAUACAGAUACGCGCUCUUUGACUUUUUCGUAGAUCUAAUUGAGAUACACAUGAUUGUAAAUUUUUGUGUCAAUAUGACAAACCGUUCAGGCGUGACACUCAACAAUGUGUAUUUUUAUGUAAGGGGACAAGAAAAAAUUGACUUUUUUCUCCUACCAUGGGGGGCGCUCUUUUGGGGAGUAAAAAUUCCUUCACAAAUGUGUUGAUGGCUGGACAUUGCAUCAUCCUAGAAAACUUGGAGGCCAGUGAGGACAAAAAUAAAAAGUUAUAAAACAUUUAAGAAUGUGGAUUUUUGGGUUAUUUUUGGCGCCCCCUAGAACCUAAACCAUGGGGUGCAGCAUCAUGAUUUGAAUAACUUUUAAUGGCCAUGGGGUGUAGAUUGGCCUGAGCAAAUGUGGUGCCGGUGGAACGAAAGCCUUCGGAGGAGUUAGCGAAAUUCCAAUGUGUGCGUAUCGGCAAAAAAUGCGGAAUAACCCUUUAACUGUACAUUUGACAGAUACGCGCGCAUGGACUUUUUUGUAGAUCUUAUUGAGUUACAUGUGUGUGUCAAUUUUUGUGUCAUUUUGACAAAGCGUAUAGGCGUGACACUCAACAAUGUGUAUUUUCACCUUAGGGGACAAGAAAAAAUGGACUUUUUUCUCCUGCCAUGGGGGGGCGCUCUUUUGGGGAGUAAAAAUUCCUUCACAAAUGUGUUGAUGGCUGGACAUUGCAUCAUCCUAGAAAACUUGGAGGCCAGUGAGGACAAAAAUAAAAAGUUAUAAGACUUUUAAAUAUGUGGAUUUUAGUGUUAUCUUUGGCGCCCCCUAGAACCUAAACCUUGGGGUGCAGCGUCAUGAUUUUGAUAACUUUUAAUGGCCACGGGGUGUAGAUUGGCCUGAGCAAAUGUGGUGCCGGUGGAACGAAAGCCUUCGGAGGAGUUAGCGAAAUUCCAAUGUGUGCGGAUCGGCAAAAAAUGCGAAAUAACCCUUUAACCGUAAUUUUGACAGAUACGGCCGCACUGACUUUUUUGUAGAUCUUAUUGAGAUACAUGUGUGUGUCAAUUUUUGUGUCAAUAUGACAAAGCGUACAGGCGUGACAGUCAAUAGUGUGAAUUUCCACCUUAGGGGGCGCUAUGGAGCCAUUUUGCAUUUUAUUGUUUUGGCGACUUCAGAAUAUCGAAUUUUUCACCAGGCCCGGUCGUCCUGCCAAAUUUCAUGAGUUUUCGCCAGUGGGAAGUGGGCCAUUUUCCAGUUCAAAGGGGAGGAAAAAGAAAAAAGAAAGAAAGAAACAAAGAAAAACCACUUGGGGAAUAAUAGGGCCUACGCCCGGCUGCUCUGCAGCUGGCUCGGGCCCUAAAGAAAGAAAGAAAGAAAGAAACAAAGAAAAACCACUUGGGGAAUAAUAGGGCCUACGCCCGGCUGCUCUGCAGCUGGCUCGGGCCCUAAAAAGAAACAAAGAAAAACCACUUGGGGAAUAAUAGGGCUCUCGCAGCUGCUUAGCAGCUACGCUCGGGCCCUAACUAGGACCCCGUUGGGGCACUGGCGGGCCCGAGCCGUGUCGCGUCCCCCCCCCAACGUGCUGCCUCCCCGUCCCAUUUGUGUCCUCUGGCCAUCGCCCUCUCUGGUAACGCCCAUCACUGCAAAGACCCUUUUCCUUCAUCGGCGUUUGCUGUUCUUCCUGCCAGUGCGUGUUGCUUUCACUUACACUUGCCACAGCCAGCCUCGUGAGUGCCUAGCCUAUUGGAUAUCACUGUCACCUACACAGGACAGUCAUUACCUUUCUAUUAAUACUUUGUGUUUUAAUUUCACAUUAAUUUCCAUAUUGUAUAAACGACUGGAAAAAACUUGAGCCCCUGCCCCUGUAUAAUCAUGUGCAUGUCUCUGUUCUAGCUCCAAGGUGAAUCUUCACUGCUCAUGUUCUCCUCAGAAGCACUCACCUCACUCCCCUCAGGUUACUGUACACAUGCACCAACUGCCUGCUUCAGGUUUGGAUGGAGCUUCAUGGUUGUCUUUUGGAGAAAUGAGCAGUCAAGUUGUGUUUGAAAUUUGAUUUUUUUCAGGGGCAAAAGGAGCCUCUGCAUUCUUGUCAAAUAUGUAAAUAGCAUGUUUUUGCAGGUGCUAAAAACCAGACUCUGAGUGUGUGUGUGUGUGUGUGUGUGAGUGUGUGUGUGUGUGUGUGUGUGCGUGUCUGUGUGUGCGUUCAAGUCACAUGACAUAUUUAACCGGAUGUAGCUGCAAGACGGAGCCUUGUUGACUCUCCGUUUCAACUUAUCUCAAAAGUGAGGACCUCAACCUAUAUACCAGUUUUUAAAUUGUGUUGAUAGGCCAAAUAAAACCAGAGUUAUGAUAAAUUAUGUCCGCGAUACUUGUUUUCUGCUUAUUUUGAUCACGUUCGGCGCUCGAUCGCGCUGUAUGAGACAGGAAAACAUAGCAUGAAGACAUUAGCGACAGGUCUUACAGGCGGAAAAGGCUUGCCAAAAGAAAAAAAAAAACACACCACAACAUCUCUCCUAUUGGUGGAAAACUUCACCACAACAACCAAUCCAAAAUUAUAUGGUGACUGAUUGACAAGGGGCGGGCGCUUACGUUCUUCCUGCAACAUGAGAAGGGAGGGAGGGACUCUCAGCAGGGAUGCAGUCUGGGACACGUAGUUGCAAACCUAGCGACUUUGUUGUUAGACUCAAUGACUUUUCAGACCCCCUAACGACUUUUUUUUAGAAAGAAAGGGACUUUUAUCGACUUCUUCUGGAGUUUAGAGACUCUGACAUGAAGCAGGCUUUCCUUACUGAGGAGUUAGCAACGCUGCUAAGGGUGCAGAGCCACACAUGCGCUCAGAGCUCUGCAUGGGAGACUGAAGCUGACAGAGCUGCAGCAGUUAGCAGGUUUCACCCUCAGAGACCACCAGGGGUUCAUGUUGAGGCAUUUUAAUUUUUUUUUUUUUGUGCCAUAGACACUGUCAGCACAAUCUGCAGUUACACUAACAAAAAUGCUGCAAAAAACAAAGAAUUAUGGAAAAAUUACACAUGGACUGACAUAGAGGAGGAUCUACACAAGUUUUUUACAUCAUGUUUUACAUCAUGCAUCAUUUACAUCAUGUUUUUUUGUAGUGGCAUAAAUAAAAAGUGACAUUUGUGAGACUAUACUGUAGUGAUUUGAAAUGAGCCUCAUACGGUCGCACCAAAAUAUAUGUAGCGAUUUGAAAUGAGCCUCACAAGGCCGCACCAAAAUAAUACUUGGCGAUUGGAAUUUAUAAUAAAUGUCUGAAGAUUAAUAAUCUCAAAUUAUGACAUUUAUGCACUCGUUGAAAGGGGCACCACCCACCCUUAAUGGUGGGAAAAUAAAGAAAACAAAAGUUUAAUUCAGAAAUCAAACAUCAAGUCAGUUUUAAUUAAUCAGUCUUAAUUAAUCAGUCUUAAUUAAUCAGUCUCAUAUCUUAAGUCGAAAUUCUAAUUUCAGGGACUCCACUUCUGGAAGAACACUAACAGACAGGAACUUAGAAAAAUAAUGAUCUGUUUAUUACAGGAUAAAUGAUGGUACAACACACAUGCAAUAAAUGAUAAGAUGAUGAAGAUAAAUAAUAAUAGGUGAAUAAAUAAAGAUUCUGAGUCAGGCUAGGAGCACUAAAGUUAAUGAUAGUGAGUGAAUAUGCGCUAACAUAUUAACCUACACUAACUUUGGUGUCGAGAUAAACUCGGAUGUGGAUUUGGAGGAAUCUAAGAUCACCAGAAAUAAGAGGAUAUCUGAGUUGAACGCAGGAGACAGCACCAGCCCUCUUUAGAGCUCUGGAGGUUUGCAUACUUAAGUGAGACUGGUCCUUGGAGAAGAUGGAGCAGGUUCCGAAGGUCCGGGCUACUGGCGGUUCGAGCGGUUCAGCUCAGAAGAUGACUGAAGUCAGCCGAAGGAUGAGCCAGGAGUUGCAGCACUCGGGUCCGAAGCAAAGCCAGCGCCUGUGGAUCCUGUGGAUGCUCGUUUGGGUACUUCUUUGGUCUCACUUAAAACUCUGGUACAGAGGAUGACCUGGGCCUGCUGGGUUGCGUUCAGAGGUGACUUUGAAUCACGCAGAAAACUCAGAAAAACGAGACUCGAGCAGAGAAAACUUUCAAAAAUGGCUUCGCGAAAUUAAAGAAAAAUCAAUCAAAGGCUUAAUCUUGAAUUGCUAUGCGCACAAAAAGUUGAAGUUUCAAAACUUGAACUAAGACGAUGUUAAAGAAAAAUCAACGUGAAUCAACACGUGGCGUAAAACUUAGAAGACUAAGAAAAAGUUCUAAGAGAAAACAAAGAAACGCACCACAGAAGGGUGUGGACAGAAGAGAAGGGGCAUAAGAGCCGGGGACAAGAGAGUCAGCAGAAGAGCAGAAGCAUAAGAGGAAUAAGAGAUAAGAGGAAUAAGAGGAAAAAGAGAUAAGAGAGCGUAAGAGAGCGUAAGAGAGUGAGCAACCCCACUCCACUGGUUUUAUCUUCUCACACUGGGAGUGUCUGAGGAGAAAGAGGAGGGGUCAUCGGGUCUCUGAUUAUUUGAUCUAACUUAUUCUUUUGGCUGGUAAAAGAGUCAGAUCUGAUACUCACUCACUAUGAUUAAUAUCAUUGAAUGCUUGGUUUCAUGAUAAAUAAUUUGAUACUAAACACAUAUGAAUGAAGUGUAGGAUCACAUCAAACAUUCUCAUUAUGUUUUAAGUAUCACAUUGAACAUGCUAAAUUACUCUGAAAUGAAACAGAUAGUAACACAUAGAAACUGUGAACAACAAAAGAGUAAACACAUGUGAAUGAACGUCAUCAUGAUUAAUAAUGGAUUCUAAAUACUCACAUUCAGAUUAUUCAGUGACAUUAUAACCACCUAAUGGUUAAGAUACUAAAUAAAUAACUAAAAUAUAAACCAAACAUUUCUAAACUAUUUCUGUUACUUAGAGUAAACUUAGGAUUCAUAGUCAAUAAAUUUAACUCUUAAAAGUUCAUGAAACAGUCUGAAAAGCUGUUGGUCUAAAGAACAAAAGAAUAAGGAUUUAUUCUGUCAGAUAAGAUAACUUGGCUUCUGAAGCACAUAGAAAAACGGGAAACAUCUCAUUUUAACACAAAUUUCAUGAUUAGACAGAUUAGUACAUUGCUGAAUGCAUAAGAUGUCAUGAUCAGUCAUUUGUAUUCUUUCACCAAAGGAAUGCAGUCUUUAUCAGUGUAUGGUCGAGCAGGGUUUUACGACCGAGGUCUGGAGGUCAGUGUCCCCCCUUAUCCUGGGGUCCGUAUGUUCACACACUUUAAGACGCUUAAUCUCAAAUGGGAGAUCUGGGUUAAGGUUAAUGUUUAUUUAGAUGGUCAGCAAAUGGAGUCAGUUUGAAAGGUAAUAAAAACUCUGUCUCUGUUCGCCGAACUGACCAAUCCUGAAGAGUCAGAGGUUUAGUCAACCUCCGGUUGGGUCACUUAUUUAACCUGAAAGUGCAAACACGUCUGGAAAGAUUUAUAUCCUGUUUCCUGGGACCAGAUAAGGAAACUUUCCUGUAAGGAAUGUGUGGGUUUCACAUCCAGGGUUGUCUUGAUUGCUACAGUCCCCCUUCGUCACGGUGGUCCUGUCCAUGGAGCAUCGGGACGACGAGUAGACAACCAUGAAGCAGCAGCAGCAGCAGGUGUAUGCAAAUAGGACUGAUGCGUCUCGUCAUCACUAUGUGAAUCACUAGUACUGCUUUGAGAUAAAAUUAAGCAUGCAUUAAGCUAUCAAAUAAAAUCGUCUAGUUGUUAGACUCUUCUCAGUUAACUAUUGGUAGACUAAUGUGAAAGAAAAUCUCCUAAUUUUCAAUAUUAAUGAGACUUAGAAAAGCACUCUUUAGUCUGAAUGCUAACUGGAUCUAAAGCUAUAGCUGUUUUUCAUGCUUGCUGGAGAAGUCUGAAAGUUCAAUUUCAGUUUCAAAAAUGGUUAAGACUUAGGUGGAAAAGAAAUGUCUGCUAUAGACAUAUUAACCAUCUGUGUAUGAGCAUAGUCAACCUGAAUCACAAACAUCAAAAGUUUACUGCACAGAGUUUCUCUUAAACUUUGUCUGUUAAACUUGGGGAUGAUGCUCUUAUCGGUUUGACUAAUUAUCUGCUAUUAAGUCUGAAAUUUGUCAAUCUGAGUCUUAAUGACAGAAAUUUCAGGUUUUAAUCUGUUCAUGGGAUAUUUGACAGCUGACAAGCUGACUAUAUUGACAGAGGAGAGACAAAUGCUAACAAAGAAAGCAGCAACUGGGAUUGCAGUCAUCAAUGUAUCACCACAGCAUUUGGAUAUCUUAUUGGAGUCAUUUAGCUUUGGCUGGGUGACUUCUGCUUUCGCAGGACUCACACCUUCAUGACUCCACAGUGUUAAUCUCAGUGGUUAGCUGAGUAGUCAUGUUUAUUCACCUUCAAAGUGGAUGAAACCGAUUGAGGUGGAUAAUAAGAUCGUCGUUUCUGAGAGUGUGAUUUACUCUGAUUCUGCCAGUCAUUCACCCCCCUUUGGUGGUGUUGGUGGUUUUUCCUUUGUCUGGGAUAAAACCCACCAUGACGGGAGUCUGAAUAACAACAGUUGGUCUCAAAGUUUACCGGGCAUUGGUCUGUGUCAGACCUGGGCCUUGGUGUGUAACUUUGACCUUUGUGAGUGUGUUGAGGUCGAAAAGGUUUUGGAGGCCUGGUUAACCACUCAUUUGGAGGCUUACCGGAGCCUGAAAAUACACAAUCUGAAGCUUCGUUCAGCUCCAUGGGCAGUGAUUUUGUCUCCAUAGCCAACAGAGUAACAGGCUCUGCUUUCUUAGCCAAAGUUUGUCGUUGUUUGGCAAAACCUUUUACAGCAAGUUCACGAAGCUGUCGGCUAGUCAAAGUGUUUGGACAAGCUAAGACGCCAAGGUGAUGACUGGUGGUAGGGUGGAGGUUCUGGACGAACAGCGUUUUGAAGUUCAAGUCCUCCUCCAUUUCUGGUUCAUUUCGGAAACCAAAGUAAGCUUCGCGUAAGCGGUUGUAAUACUGUUGGGGAGGUUCUGAUCUCCCUUGUUUAAUAGACAGAGCAGCAGAGAGGCCUGUCUGGGUCAAAUGAUCAGAAAACUCUUCAAUUAAUGCUUGGCAGAGCAAGUCAUAAUUAUUUCUGACAUGAUAAGGCUGUCUUUCAAGGAAACUGCUAACCUCUCGACUUGACGUUGCUUUAAUAAGGUAGAUUUUGUCAUCAACGGUUGCACCUGGAAAUUUCCUCAGGUAAAAGUCAAUGUCUUUCAAGUAGGUGCAGGUGUCAGUAGCACCUUGGUGCUCAGGUUCAAAGCGUGCUAUGAUGCGAGCAAUUUUGUCAAGAUCCCUGUCUGAGGGAAAUGGUAAGAAGCCAUCAUGAGGAGGAGAGUAGGACUCUUGGUUUAAGGAUGACCUCUCAGGGUCAAGCAGGGUCCUGUCAUGAUGCUGAGAGAGAUACUUAAGAGUUGGUUUGGAAGGAAGUGAUGGCGCUCUCUCAGGAGGCUGAUCACCUAUCAUUUCUUCAAGAAACGUUUGCUCCAUGCGUUCUCUUUGGGCUCGACCUGACUGGAGGGAGCAUUGUAACUCUCUUUGGGCAUCUUCAAGUUCUUUGUCUGUCUUUUCUUGCCGUUCUUGACAAAGAAUUAACUGUCUUUGAGCUAUCUGGAGCUGGUGCUGUAAGGUAGAAGUUUGCUUCUCCUUAACUUCAAGAGCUUCAGCACGCACUUUGACCAGUGCUUUCAAAGUUUUUACAUCUUCUGUUGCUUGCUCUAGUAGGGAUUCUGACUGUAUCAGAUCCUCUGUGGUCUUAGCAAGCUGCUUAUUCGUGUCAUCGAGUUCUUUCUCCUUUUUGUAAAGGGUUUCAUUAAGUCUUUCAAUCUUGUCUUUGAGAUCAAGAUUUUCUUCAUGACUUAUCAGUGAGGGAAGCUUUGACGCUUCACAUCUGGCACUGUGUUUUUCUAAAACACUUAGAGACUUCUUAGUCUCCUCUAGCGUCUUUUUCAGAGCGCUGUUUUCGUCUUUUUGCGCCUUUAUCUUUGCUAAAGCGCAUUCCAGCAAGUAGUCUUUAUACUCAAGCUGAGAAGACAUCAUGACAGACAUGCAUCUAGUGAGCUCUUUGUCACGAAGUGUCGUGGUUAAGGCUGUUUCCAGUAAGUCAGCCAUUGCAUCCUCCGGAUUGGAGGGUUUGGCCUUUUGAAUCUUAGUCAUGUAUUGAGGUAUCAACUGACUAGUCAAGUUUGCCAACACUGUGUGUAUGUCCCUCAGGGGGUCUCCCUGGCUGGACUCUUUUGUGUUAGGCAUGUUUGGUUUUGGUAAAGAGGUGCAGCUGGUUGGUUGAUGAGUUUGAGUUGACUUAAAAUGAAAGGAAGAAGCAAAAUAUCAAAUUAAGUGGGUUAAUCGACUUAAUUUAUCAGUGCUUGAUAAAGAGAAAGAGCCUAUCUGAGUAGAUCUCUAAUGGAGAGAAAAAACCAUAAAGUUAAAUUCAUUUCAAUGAAAAUUGAAAAAAGUGAAAUGAUGUUAAAUUAAAUUUAACAUCAGAUACAGAACCAUUGAAUAAAGGGUUCAAUUUGUCUCUGUGUUGCAGAGAUCAGCAAAGCUUAAAUAAACUGCCUGCUGCAGUUGGAUGAAUUUGAAAAAUCAAUGAAAUUGUCAAUUAAGGAAUUAACUCUGAAAUUAAUUCACAAAUCGCAAUAAAGCCAAAGAUUCAACUACCCAAUUCAUCUGAAAUGUUAAAAGAAAUUUCAAGUAUUAAUUAAUUUGUUCAUUAAUUAAUUAAUCUUAUGAGGAGGGUUAAUACAUUCAUGUAUUAUAGGGAACAGUAAAACUGCUCAAUGGUGUGAUAAGUAACAACAAGAUCAGGUGAUUGAUUCAAGGAGUUACUUCAUCAAUACCUUACGGAGGCUCUUAUAACAAAGAUUAAAAUCAAAAAUCAAUGAUCAAUGAUUUAGAAUAAGCACAUCAAACUUCAUCAACCAAGUCAAUCACUUGAGUUAUGUCUGUAGAGUGUUACACACUGACUACAGAGAGGCAGUACAGCUAGCUGAUACUGCAGACAGAUAAUAGCAGUGUUAGCUCAAUACCAAAAGCAACCAUGUGGGGCAGUAUGGAGUUGGGGUAACUGCACAAGCUCAACACAAGUGGAGAAGAAGAAGAAACUAGGGCCCCGUUGGGGCACUGGCGGGCCCGAGCUGUGUUGCGCCCCCCCCCCCCCCCAACGCGCUGCCUCCCCGUCCCAUUCGCGUCCUCUGGCCAUCGUCCUCUCUGGUAACGCCCAUCACUGCAAAGACCCUUUUCCUUCAUCGGCGUUUGCUGUUCUUCCUGCCAGUGCGUGUGGCUUUCACUUGCACUUGCCACAGCCAGCCUCGUGAGUGCCUAGCCUAUUGGAUAUCACUGUCACCUACACAGGACAGUCAUUACCUUUCUAUUAAUACUUUGUUUUUUAAUUUCACAUUAAUUUCCAUAUUGUCUAAACGACUGGAAAAAACUUGAGCCCCUGCCCCUGUAUAAUCAUGUGCACGUCCCUGUUCUAGCUCCAAGGUGAAUCUUGACUGCUCAUGUUCUCCUCAGAAGCAGUCACCUCACUCCCCUCAGGUUACUGUACACAUGCACCAACUGCCUGCUUCAGGUUUGGAUGGAGCUUCAUGGUUGUCUUUUGGAGAAAUGAGCAGUCAAGUUGUGUUUGAAAUUUCAUUUUUUUCAGGGGCAAAAGGAAGUCUCUGCAUUGUUGUCAAAUAUGUAAAUAGCAUGUUUUUGCAGGUGCUGAAAAACAGACUCUGAGUGUGUAUGUGUGUGUGUGUGUGUGUGUGUGUGUGUGUGUGUGUGUGUGUGUGUGUGUGUGUGUGUGUGUGUGUGUGUGUGUGUGUGUGUGUGUGUGUGUGUGUGUGUGUGUAUCCUGCAGUACUCUGUACUCCUGCAGUGGCCAAAACGACUUUUAAGAAUGUGGAUAUUUGGGUCAUCUUUGGCGCCCCCUAGAACGUAAACCAUGGGGUGCAGCGGCAUGAUUUUUACAACUUUGAAUGGGCAUGGGGUGUAGAUUGCCCUGAGCAAAUUUGGUAUCGGUGGGACGAAAGCCUUAGGAGGAGAUAGCCACAUUCCAAUGUGUGCUAAUCGGCAAAAAAUGCGAAAUAGCCCUUUAACCGUACAUUAUACAGAUACGCGUUUUUUGACUUUUUCGUAGAUCUAAUUGAGAUACACAUGAUUGUCAAUUUUUGUGUCAAUAUGACAAAGCGUUCAGGCGUGACACUCAACAAUGUGUAUUUUCAUGUAAGGGGACAAGAAAAAAUGGACUUUUUUCUCCUGCCAUGGGGGGGCGCUCUUUUGGGGAGUAAAAAUUCCUUCACAAAUGUGUUGAUGGCUGGACAUUGCAUCAUCCUAGAAAACUUGGAGGGCAGUGAGGACAAAAAUAAAAAGUUAUAAGACUUUUAAGAAUGUGGAUUUUGGGUUAUCUUUGGCGCCCCCUAGAACGUAAACCGUGGGGUGCAGCGUCAUGAUUUGUACAACUUUUAAUGGCCAUGGGGGGUAGAUUGGCCUGCGCAAAUGUGGUGCCGGUCGAACGAAAGCCUUCGGAGGAGUUAGCGAAAUUCCAAUGUGUGCAGAUCUGCAAAAAAUGCAAAAUAACCCAUUAACCGUACAUUUGACAGAUACGCCCGCACUGACUUUUUUGUAGAUCUUAUUGAGAUACAUGUGUGUGUCAAUUUUUGUGUCAAUAUGACAAAGCGUACAGCCGUCAUGUGAAUUUUCACCUUAGGGGGCGCUAUGGAGCCAUUUUGCAUUUUAUUGUUUGGGCGACUUCAGAAUAUCGAAUUUUUCACCAGGCCCGGUCGUCCUGCCAAAUUUCCUGAGUUUUCGCCAGUGGGAAGUGGGCCAUUUUCCAGUUUAAAGCGGAGGAAAAAUAAUAACGAAAGAAGGAAACAUGCAGGAACAAGAGGGCUCUCGCAGCUGCUUAGCAGCUACGCUCGGGCCCUAAUUGACUUUUUUCUCCUGCCAUGGGGGGGCGCUCUUUUGGGGAGUAAAAAUUCCUUCACAAAUGUGUUGAUGGCUGGACAUUGCAUCAUCCUAGAAAACUUGGAGGGCAGUGAGGACAAAAAUAAAAAGUUAUAAGACUUUUAAGAAUGUGGAUUUUGGGUUAUCUUUGGCGCCCCCUAGAACGUAAACCGUGGGGUGCAGCGUCAUGAUUUGUACAACUUUUAAUGGCCAUGGGGGGUAGAUUGGCCUGCGCAAAUGUGGUGCCGGUCGAACGAAAGCCUUCGGAGGAGUUAGCGAAAUUCCAAUGUGUGCAGAUCUGCAAAAAAUGCAAAAUAACCCAUUAACCGUACAUUUGACAGAUACGCCCGCACUGACUUUUUUGUAGAUCUUAUUGAGAUACAUGUGUGUGUCAAUUUUUGUGUCAAUAUGACAAAGCGUACAGCCGUCAUGUGAAUUUUCACCUUAGGGGGCGCUAUGGAGCCAUUUUGCAUUUUAUUGUUUGGGCGACUUCAGAAUAUCGAAUUUUUCACCAGGCCCGGUCGUCCUGCCAAAUUUCCUGAGUUUUCGCCAGUGGGAAGUGGGCCAUUUUCCAGUUUAAAGCGGAGGAAAAAUAAUAACGAAAGAAGGAAACAUGCAGGAACAAGAGGGCUCUCGCAGCUGCUUAGCAGCUACGCUCGGGCCCUAAAUACUAGGGCCCCGUUGGGGCACUGGCGGGCCCGAGCUGUGUCGCGUCCCCCCCCCCAACGCGCUGCCUCCCCGUCCCAUUUGUGUCCUCUGGCCAUCGCCCUCUCUGGUAACGCCCAUCACUGCAAAGACCCUUUUCCUUCAUCGGCGUUUGCUGUUCUUCCUGCCAGUGCGUGUUGCUUUCACUUACACUUGCCACAGCCAGCCUCGUGAGUGCCUAGCCUAUUGGAUAUCACUGUCACCUACACAGGACAGUCAUUACCUUUCUAUUAAUACUUUGUUUUUUAAUUUCACAUUAAUUUCCAUAUUGUCUAAACGACUGGAAAAAACUUGAGCCCCUGCCCCUGUAUAAUCAUGUGCACGUCCCUGUUCUAGCUCCAAGGUGAAUCUUGACUGCUCAUGUUCUCCUCAGAAGCAGUCACCUCACUCCCCUCAGGUUACUGUACACAUGCACCAACUGCCUGCUUCAGGUUUGGAUGGAGCUUCAUGGUUGUCUUUUGGAGAAAUGAGCAGUCAAGUUGUGUUUGAAAUUUCAUUUUUUUCAGGGGCAAAAGGAAGUCUCUGCAUUGUUGUCAAAUAUGUAAAUAGCAUGUUUUUGCAGGUGCUGAAAAACAGACUCUGAGUGUGUAUGUGUGUGUGUGUGUGUGUGUGUGUGUGUGUGUGUGUGUGUGUUUGUGUGUGUGCGUGUGUGUGUGUGUCCGUGUGUGUGUGUGUCUGUGUGUGUGUGUGUCUGUGUGUGUGUAUCCUGCAGUACUCUGUACUCCUGCAGUGGCCAAAACGACUUUUAAGAAUGUGGAUAUUUGGGUCAUCUUUGGCGCCCCCUAGAACGUAAACCAUGGGGUGCAGCGGCAUGAUUUUUACAACUUUGAAUGGGCAUGGGGUGUAGAUUGCCCUGAGCAAAUUUGGUAUCGGUGGGACGAAAGCCUUAGGAGGAGAUAGCCACAUUCCAAUGUGUGCUAAUCGGCAAAAAAUGCGAAAUAGCCCUUUAACCGUACAUUAUACAGAUACGCGCUUUUUGACUUUUUCGUAGAUCUAAUUGAGAUACACAUGAUUGUCAAUUUUUGUGUCAAUAUGACAAAGCGUUCAGGCGUGACACUCAACAAUGUGUAUUUUCAUGUAAGGGGACAAGAAAAAAUUGACUUUUUUCUCCUGCCAUGGGGGGGCGCUCUUUUGGGGAGUAAAAAUUCCUUCACAAAUGUGUUGAUGGCUGGACAUUGCAUCAUCCUAGAAAACUUGGAGGGCAGUGAGGACAAAAAUAAAAAGUUAUAAGACUUUUAAGAAUGUGGAUUUUGGGUUAUCUUUGGCGCCCCCUAGAACGUAAACCGUGGGGUGCAGCGUCAUGAUUUGUACAACUUUUAAUGGCCAUGGGGGGUAGAUUGGCCUGUGCAAAUGUGGUGCCGGUCGAACGAAAGCCUUCGGAGGAGUUAGCGAAAUUCCAAUGUGUGCAGAUCUGCAAAAAAUGCAAAAUAACCCAUUAACCGUACAUUUGACAGAUACGCCCGCACUGACUUUUUUGUAGAUCUUAUUGAGAUACACGUGUGUGUCAAUUUUUGUGUCAAUAUGACAAAGCGUACAGCCGUCAUGUGAAUUUUCACCUUAGGGGGCGCUAUGGAGCCAUUUUGCAUUUUAUUGUUUGGGCGACUUCAGAAUAUCGAAUUUUUCACCAGGCCCGGUCGUCCUGCCAAAUUUCCUGAGUUUUCGCCAGUGGGAAGUGGGCCAUUUUCCAGUUUAAAGCGGAGGAAAAAUAAUAACGAAAGAAGGAAACAUGCAGGAACAAGAGGGCUCUCGCAGCUGCUUAGCAGCUACGCUCGGGCCCUAAAGAGGAAACAGUCAUCCAACUAGCCUCUUGUGGCUGUGUGAAGUUGGGAAGUAUGCAGGAAGGGGCCUUUAGGCUCUGCCUCCUUGAAGGGCCUUAUCUGCUUAAGGUCAAAUGGUCAGUCUCUCCACUGACAACAAAGGGUUAACAUUUCACAGCAGGCUGCAUCUGCACCCUCAAACAUAGAACUUUCCACCAUCUGCUCAGGCAGAUUGGUUCAAUAAAAUCAUUUACAGGAACAAGAAUCAAAGUGGCAAAUCCCUCAACAGCAGAUUCAACUGCAGACUUAAAAAUCACAAAUGCGGCGAUUUGUGAUCACAAAUUUUAUCUGAAUUCAUUCAAACAACAACCUCCCACUGUUACAGUGGUUUCCUGUGACAGUUAGCUUAUCUGUCAGGGGAAAGGAGGAAAUCUAAAUCCCAUAUAGUUACUAGAACUUCAUAGCAGACUAUAGUGACAAGAAUCAAAGUGACAAAUCCCUCAACAGCAGAUUCAACUGCAGACUUUAAAAUCACAAAUGCGGCGAUUUGUGAACACAAAUUUUGUCUGAAUUCAAUCAAACAACAACCUCCCACUGUUACAGUGGUUUCCUGUGACAGGUAGCUAAUCUGUCAGGGGAAAGGAGGAAAUCUGAAUCCCAUAUAGUUACUAGAAACUCGUAGCAGACUACAGAGACUUCAGGGGCUUGAAACCACAGCUCGGAGCAUCGCGAACACUGGGUUCAGCCAAAGGCCUUAAAUACAAGCGUACGGCGACGCAACAAUCGUGCACUUAAAUAUUGGACAGUCUAGACAGAGCAGAAGAGUCAGUCUCACUGCUACUCAGAACAACAUUUCACGCUGUCCAGCUCAAACACAGACUACAGGCAUGUAGUACAAAAGUGUGUGAAACACAGAGCAUAAAGGUUUUAUGCAUAGAUCAGGAAAACAUCAGAACUUAGUCAAGCAACUUCAGCAAGCAUAGCAUUGAUUGUGAUUAAGUCUAAAAUAGCCUGGAAAUAAGUUUCUCGCAUCAAUUUGGAAGGCUAAGUUUUAGGUUGUCUGUUAGUAUCCAGAAGUUUUGUUUGAAACGCCUCACGCAGGGGCUCCAAAAUAUAUGUAGUGAUUUGAAAUGAGCCUCAUACGGUCGCACCAAAAUAUAUGUAGCGAUUUGAAAUGAGCCUCACAAGGCCGCACCAAAAUAAUACUUGGCGAUUGGAAUUUAUAAUAAAUGUCUGAAGAUUAAUAAUCUCAAAUUAUGACAUUUAUGCACUCGUUGAAAGGGGCACCACCCACCCUUAAUGGUGGGAAAAUAAAGAAAACAAAAGUUUAAUUCAGAAAUCAAACAUCAAGUCAGUUUUAAUUAAUCAGUCUUAAUUAAUCAGUCUUAAUUAAUCAGUCUCAUAUCUUAAGUCGAAAUUCUAAUUUCAGGGACUCCACUUCUGGAAGAACACUAACAGACAGGAACUUAGAAAAAUAAUGAUCUGUUUAUUACAGGAUAAAUGAUGGUACAACACACAUGCAAUAAAUGAUAAGAUGAUGAAGAUAAAUAAUAAUAGGUGAAUAAAUAAAGAUUCUGAGUCAGGCUAGGAGCACUAAAGUUAAUGAUAGUGAGUGAAUAUGCGCUAACAUAUUAACCUACACUAACUUUGGUGUCGAGAUAAACUCGGAUGUGGAUUUGGAGGAAUCUAAGAUCACCAGAAAUAAGAGGAUAUCUGAGUUGAACGCAGGAGACAGCACCAGCCCUCUUUAGAGCUCUGGAGGUUUGCAUACUUAAGUGAGACUGGUCCUUGGAGAAGAUGGAGCAGGUUCCGAAGGUCCGGGCUACUGGCGGUUCGAGCGGUUCAGCUCAGAAGAUGACUGAAGUCAGCCGAAGGAUGAGCCAGGAGUUGCAGCACUCGGGUCCGAAGCAAAGCCAGCGCCUGUGGAUCCUGUGGAUGCUCGUUUGGGUACUUCUUUGGUCUCACUUAAAACUCUGGUACAGAGGAUGACCUGGGCCUGCUGGGUUGCGUUCAGAGGUGACUUUGAAUCACGCAGAAAACUCAGAAAAACGAGACUCGAGCAGAGAAAACUUUCAAAAAUGGCUUCGCGAAAUUAAAGAAAAAUCAAUCAAAGGCUUAAUCUUGAAUUGCUAUGCGCACAAAAAGUUGAAGUUUCAAAACUUGAACUAAGACGAUGUUAAAGAAAAAUCAACGUGAAUCAACACGUGGCGUAAAACUUAGAAGACUAAGAAAAAGUUCUAAGAGAAAACAAAGAAACGCACCACAGAAGGGUGUGGACAGAAGAGAAGGGGCAUAAGAGCCGGGGACAAGAGAGUCAGCAGAAGAGCAGAAGCAUAAGAGGAAUAAGAGAUAAGAGGAAUAAGAGGAAAAAGAGAUAAGAGAGCGUAAGAGAGCGUAAGAGAGUGAGCAACCCCACUCCACUGGUUUUAUCUUCUCACACUGGGAGUGUCUGAGGAGAAAGAGGAGGGGUCAUCGGGUCUCUGAUUAUUUGAUCUAACUUAUUCUUUUGGCUGGUAAAAGAGUCAGAUCUGAUACUCACUCACUAUGAUUAAUAUCAUUGAAUGCUUGGUUUCAUGAUAAAUAAUUUGAUACUAAACACAUAUGAAUGAAGUGUAGGAUCACAUCAAACAUUCUCAUUAUGUUUUAAGUAUCACAUUGAACAUGCUAAAUUACUCUGAAAUGAAACAGAUAGUAACACAUAGAAACUGUGAACAACAAAAGAGUAAACACAUGUGAAUGAACGUCAUCAUGAUUAAUAAUGGAUUCUAAAUACUCACAUUCAGAUUAUUCAGUGACAUUAUAACCACCUAAUGGUUAAGAUACUAAAUAAAUAACUAAAAUAUAAACCAAACAUUUCUAAACUAUUUCUGUUACUUAGAGUAAACUUAGGAUUCAUAGUCAAUAAAUUUAACUCUUAAAAGUUCAUGAAACAGUCUGAAAAGCUGUUGGUCUAAAGAACAAAAGAAUAAGGAUUUAUUCUGUCAGAUAAGAUAACUUGGCUUCUGAAGCACAUAGAAAAACGGGAAACAUCUCAUUUUAACACAAAUUUCAUGAUUAGACAGAUUAGUACAUUGCUGAAUGCAUAAGAUGUCAUGAUCAGUCAUUUGUAUUCUUUCACCAAAGGAAUGCAGUCUUUAUCAGUGUAUGGUCGAGCAGGGUUUUACGACCGAGGUCUGGAGGUCAGUGUCCCCCCUUAUCCUGGGGUCCGUAUGUUCACACACUUUAAGACGCUUAAUCUCAAAUGGGAGAUCUGGGUUAAGGUUAAUGUUUAUUUAGAUGGUCAGCAAAUGGAGUCAGUUUGAAAGGUAAUAAAAACUCUGUCUCUGUUCGCCGAACUGACCAAUCCUGAAGAGUCAGAGGUUUAGUCAACCUCCGGUUGGGUCACUUAUUUAACCUGAAAGUGCAAACACGUCUGGAAAGAUUUAUAUCCUGUUUCCUGGGACCAGAUAAGGAAACUUUCCUGUAAGGAAUGUGUGGGUUUCACAUCCAGGGUUGUCUUGAUUGCUACAAUACAGUGUUUUGUAAAUAAUUUUACAAAGAACGCCUGGGCCAUUGCCUGCAUUUUGAUGUAAAUAGAGGUAAAUCACUAUGUUCUUUGUUAAACAUUUGCAUAUGUUUUGAAGUUUACAAUUUUUAUUUGAAGUUUAAGUUUUAAAAACAGUUCAUCACACAUAUUUGUGGUUUUCACAGUAAAAAUGUUACUUUUUUCCACUCGGAUUUUAUGUUUUGUGUGUGAAUUUGGGUCCAUUGUGUAAAUUCAGUAUGUCAACAUGAUGAAAUAACUGUAAAUUCGCACAGGUGAGGUUGUGCUGAAAAAAAUGAUACCAGGCAAGGCACGUGAUUGUCAAAUUUUGUGUCAAUAUGACAAAGCGUAUAGGCGUGAAUCUCAACAAUAUGUAUUUUCAC